AACGAACGCUGGCGGCAGGCUUAACACAUGCAAGUCGAACGCCCUAGCAAUAGGGAGUGGCGCACGGGUGAGUAACGCGUGGGAAUAUACCGUUUAGUGGGGAAUAACGUUGGGAAACUAACGCUAAUACCGCAUACGCCCGAGGGGGGAAAGAUUUAUCGCUAAACGAUUAGCCCGCGUGAGAUUAGGUAGUUGGUGGGGUAAUGGCCUACCAAGCCUACGAUCUCUAGCUGGUCUGAGAGGAUGAUCAGCCACACUGGAACUGAGACACGGUCCAGACUCCUACGGGAGGCAGCAGUGGGGAGUAUUGGACAAUGGGCGCAAGCCUGAUCCAGCCAUGCCGCGUGAGUGAUGAAGGCCUUAGGGUUGUAAAGCUCUUUCGCCGAUGAAGAUAAUGACGGUAGACGGAGAAGAAGCCCCGGCUAACUUCGUGCCAGCCGCCGCGGUAA
rnacentral:rRNA from 1 species